GGGGAUGUAAAGGUUUCGACGGGGAGAGGAAAGUGCGAGCAGCGGGUAGUGGAUGGGGGCCACACUUUAAACGCCUCCGAAAAAAUAGCUAACAACAAUAAAUUAGCUGUCGCUGCCUAAUUAUAGGCGGCUGUCCUGCCUGUUUUAGUACGUACAGGGCCAGGGCAUCGAUUAGGUACUGAACGUGCGCCGUCCUAAGCUUUGCAGACGGCCAUGAACUAAUGAAGCUACCAAUGUUUCAGCCUGUUUGCCGGCUUGUCACAAAGGGAAUGUUGUAGACAAACUGCACCCGGAGAUACUCUCAUGGACUUCUUUUCGGACGCGGGUUCGAUUCCCGCCAUCUCCACCA
rnacentral:tmRNA from 2 species